rnacentral:snRNA from 1 species
AUUGUUUCUUUGGUUUGGUUUCU